rnacentral:lncRNA from 1 species
AGACUUUGGGCUAGGGGUUAGGGUUAGGGCUGGAGCUAGGGUUAGGGUUAGGGUUGGAGCUAGGGUUAGGGUUAGGGUUGGAGCUAGGGUUAGGGUUAGGGUUGGAGCUAGGGUUAGGGUUAGGGUUAGGAAAAUGUGAAGAUUUUCCCAAAAUCUGAAGAUUUUCCUAAGUGCGGACCCAAUUUUUCACCUUCCAGAAUUGUGUUAGGAGCACGUUUCAGGCCACGGGGAGUCCAUAGAACCUGAUUCUGGGUGAAGUUUUCGGGGGUUAGGGUUAGGGUUAGGGUUAGGGUUAGGGUUAGGGUUUAGGGUUAGGGUUAGGGUUAGGGUUGGAGCUAGGGUUAGGGUAAGGGUUAGGGUUGGAGCUAGGGUUAGGGUUAGGGUUAGGGUUGGAGCUAGGGUUAAGUUUAGGUUGGAGCUAGGGUUAGGGUUAGGGUUGGAGCUAGGGUUAGGGUUAGGGUUAGGGUUGGAACUAGGGUUAAAGUUAGGGUUAGGGUUGGAGCUAGGGUAAGGGUUAGGGUUAGGGUUGGAGCUAGGGUUGGGGAUAGGGUUGGAGCUAGGGUUAGGGUUAGGGUUGGAGCUAGGGUUAGGGUUAGGGUUAGGGUUGGAGCUAGGGUUAGGGUUAGGGUUAGGGUUGGAGCUAGAGUUAGGGUUGCAGCUAGGGUUAGAGUUAGGGUUAGGGUUGGAGCUAGGGUUAGGGUUAGGGUUAGGGUUGGAGCUAGGGUUGGAGCUAGGGUUAGGGUUAGGGUUAGGGUUGGAGCUAGGGUUAGGGUUAGGGUUAGGGUUGGAGCUAGGGUUGGGGUUAGGGUUAGGGUUGGAGCUAGGGUUAGGGUUAGGGUUAGGGUUGGAGCUAGGGUUAGAGUUAGGGUUAGGGUUGGAGCUAGGGUUAGGGUUAGGGUUAGGGUUGGAGCUAGGGUUAGGGUUAGGGUUAGGGUUGGAGCUAGGGUUAGGGUUAGGGUUGGAGCUAGGGUUAGGGUUAGGGUUAGGGUUGGAGCUAGGGUUAGGGUUAGGGUUAGGGUUGGAGCUAGGGUUAGGGUUAGGGUUGGAGCUAGGGUUAGGGUUAGGGUUGGAGCUAGGGUUAGGGUUAGGGUUAGGGUUGGAGCUAGAGUUAGGGUUGCAGCUAGGGUUAGGGUUAGGGUUAGGGUUGGAGCUAGGGUUAGGGUUAGGGUUAGGGUUGGAGCUAGGGUUAGGGUUAGGGUUAGGGUUGGAGCUAGGGUUACGGUUAGGGUUAGAGUUAGGGUUGGAGCUAGGGUUAGGGUUGGAGCUAGGGUUAGGGUUAGGGUUAGGGUUGGAGCUAGGGUCAGGGUUAGGGAUGGAGCUAGGGUUAGGGUUAGGGUUAGGGUUGGAGCUAGGGUUAGGGUUAGGGUUAGGGUUGGAGCUAGGGUUAGGGUUAGGGUUGGAGCUAGGGAUAGAGCUAGGGUUAGGGUUAGGGUUGGAGCUAGGGUUAGGGUAAGGGUUAGGGUUGGAGCUAGGGUUAGGGUUGGAGCUAGGGUUAGGGUUAGGUUGGAGCUAGGGUUAGGGUUAGGGUUGGAGCUAGGGUUAGGGUUAGGGUUAGGGUUGGAGCUAGGGUUAGGGUUAGGGUUAGGGUUGGAGCUAGGGUAA